UACGAAGGGGGCUAGCGUUGCUCGGAAUCACUGGGCGUAAAGGGUGCGUAGGCGGGUUUUUAAGUCAGAGGUGAAAUCCUGGAGCUCAACUCCAGAACUGCCUUUGAUACUGAAAGUCUUGAGUAUGGGAGGGGUGAGUGGAACUGCGAGUGUAGAGGUGAAAUUCGUAGAUAUUCGCAAGAACACCAGUGGCGAAGGCGGCUCACUGGCCCAUAACUGACGCUGAGGCACGAAAGCGUGGGGAGCAAACAGG
rnacentral:rRNA from 1 species